GAUGAACGCUGGCGGCGUGCCUAAUACAUGCAAGUCGAGCGAACAGAUGAGGAGCUUGCUCCUCUGACGUUAGCGGCGGACGGGUGAGUAACACGUGGAUAACCUACCUAUAAGACUGGGAUAACUUCGGGAAACCGGAGCUAAUACCGGAUAAUAUAUUGAACCGCAUGGUUCAAUAGUGAAAGACGGUUUUGCUGUCACUUAUAGAUGGAUCCGCGCCGCAUUAGCUAGUUGGUAAGGUAACGGCUUACCAAGGCAACGAUGCGUAGCCGACCUGAGAGGGUGAUCGGCCACACUGGAACUGAGACACGGUCCAGACUCCUACGGGAGGCAGCAGUAGGGAAUCUUCCGCAAUGGGCGAAAGCCUGACGGAGCAACGCCGCGUGAGUGAUGAAAGUCUUCGGAUCGUAAAACUCUGUUAUUAGGGAAGAACAAAUGUGUAAGUAACUAUGCACGUCUUGACGGUACCUAAUCAGAAAGCCACGGCUAACUACGUG
rnacentral:rRNA from 1 species